ACCAUUUGAAGGGGCAGUUAGAGGGCGAUAUAGGUGGAUGUGGGGUUGUAUCUUUCAGUGAUUAAAGCCUGUUACUGAUAUUUAAAACCUUAUUUUAGGGUCAGCUAGAGCCCAACCCCAAGAAUCAGGACCAUCUAUACCAUGAGAUUAAAGAAGUUUGUGGGCUGCAAAAGAUCACAGAGGAACAUCUGUCACAAUUGCAUUGGAUUGCAAUAAAGAUUCUUCCAUUUCCAAUAUCGAAAUUUAUCUUGAACAGAGUAAUUCAGCUGCCACCCCACAUUGAAUUGCUAGUUACAGCAGUCACACAAAUCAAUGAACCAGACAGCAUAUAUGGGAUCAUCCAAUCACACAAGGUGAAUUGUUUUAUCAUAGUUGCA